rnacentral:misc_RNA from 1 species
CAUACUGUCCAGUCAACGAUAUUGAUAGAAAUAGAAAUUUGCCGUCUGCUGUAUUUUGAAAUUUUCUUGAUUUUUACAUUUUAAUAGCUUUUAAUUAUCAAUAUCAUUAAAAAUACAAUUUAUGGACUAUGAUAUAAAAUAUUUACCUGAAUCAGUGUAUUAAUUCAAUGAAAGUUUUAAAAAUUAUAAUUCUAUCUGACUACAAAGGGCCGGGCAGUGCCGUAUGAUGCCACAAGAUGGCGGCAGUCAAGCGAUGGCUAGUGGCGGAACCAACAUGGCGUCAACUGUUUCCUGCUCAACUGCAGCUGCUAGCCGGAGUAAGCGAGUGAGCUGCGCAGAGGGAACUGCGCAUCACCCGCAUCAACUGUUCCACAACAACAGCUUCCGAUCAGAGCUGGCUGAUACUGAGACUGUGCUGCCGGCUGCCGUUAAGGCACGGCUCUCAGACCUAUUCUAUCAGAUUGAGAAGGAAUUCGAAUCUCUCUACUCUGAAAACUUGAGUCUUCAAGAAAAAAUAGAUGCACUGAACGAAAGAGUGGAGCGUGAUUCAGUGGCUGUUGACAAACAGGGAGUCGAUGCAACAGAUUUCGAUGCUGCUUCCUCCAAAGGAUUCUCAAAACAUAAAUUGACAGGCUCGUCGCAGAAGCUGAAAACGGCGCACAAGCUGAAGGCGCAGACGAGCAAGAUAGUGUCGAGCUUCAAGGCGGCGACGGUGACGUGUCAGCUGGUGCGGGAGUUCCGGGGGCACCGCGACGGCGUCUGGGAGGUGGCCGUGUCUCGCACCGCGCAAUCCGUCAUUGGCACCGCGGCCACAGACCACUCGGCGUGCAUUUGGAGCGUGGAGAGCGGAAGAUGUCUGCUGCGUUACCUGGGCCACUCGGGGUCAGUGAACUCGCUACGCUUCCACCCGACCAGGGACCUAGCCCUCACUGCCAGUGGCGACCAGAAGGCACACGUCUGGCAGGCCGCUGUCAACCUAGAACUGCAGAAAGCUAGCUCAUCGGAUGAAGAGGGAUGUGGCCCCUAUGGCGAUGAUGGUGGUGGAGAGGGGUUGGACUUCAUGGAUAAGGUGCCGUCGCUGCGUACGCCUGUGUGUGAGCUGCGCGGCCACAGCAGUGUGGUGAUAGCGGCCGACUGGCUCGCGCCCAGUGGCGACCACCUGGUCACGGCAAGCUGGGACAGGACGGCUGCUCUCUGGGACGCGCAGACUGGCGAAAUGCUCCACACACUUGCUGGUCACGACCAGGAGUUGACGCAUGCGUCUGCACAUCACUCGCAGCGGCUGGUUGUGACGUCAUCACGCGACACCACUUUCCGACUGUGGGACUUCCGCGAGCCCAUUCACUCUGUCUCCGUAUUCCAGGGACACACCGAGACAGUAACGAGUGCUGUGUUUACCAAGAGAGAAGACAAAGUUGUGUCUGGAUCUGAUGACAGGACAGUCAAGGUUUGGGACUUGCGCAACAUGCGUUCCGCCUUGGCGACGAUCAGGGGAGACGCGGGGGUAAACAAGCUGGCAGUGAGUGGGUGGGGCGUGGUGGCCAUUCCUUAUGACAACAGACAGGUGCGCCUGUUCGACAUCAACUGUCCCGGAGCUCAGCGCCUGGCACGGCUGCCUCGCACUAGUCGACAGGGCCACCAACGUAUGGUGUCGUCAGUGGCGUGGGCUGACGACAGUGCUGCUGUCCCCGGCAUGACCUGCAACUUCUUCUCCUGUGGAUUCGACCGCCUCAUCCUCGGCUGGUCCAUUCAGUCCAUCAAAGACUCCAAAGAAGUCUGAGACUAAGGCUAGAUAUCAAGCACGAGAUUUGAAAAAGACAUCGGCGACCUGUUUCAAAUAAAGUUCACAAGUGUUAUGAAACGGCAACAGCUGACUAUAACUACAGCUACUGUAAGAGAUACAGUAGGUAACUACAGUUACUAUGAGAUAUAGUAACUGCAGUUACUGUAUGAGAGACAGUAGGUAACUUCAGUUACUAUACGAGAUACAUUAACUACAGUUACUGUAUGAGAGACAGUUACCUACUACAGUUACUUUAGGAGAGACUGUAACUACAGUUUCUAUAUAGCAACUGUAACCAGUCACACACUAGACCAGCGAACAUGCAUAAAGUAGGUAUCACAUUAGACUCUAUAUUAAAAGUGAGGAAAUUCGACAUUGCUAUUCCUCACAUUCCUAUCAUGGUGUUUUCUAUCUCAUGUUAUUUCGGGAUUUACUCGUAUCUAUAGCAUGUUACGAGAACUUUCAGACCUAAAACACUCCUUUUUAUAGUUAACGACUGAAAGUUCUCGUAACAUGGUAUAGGUACGAGUAAAUCCCGAAAUAACAUGCAUGCAUGCACCUGUUCCACUUGGAGUGUGUAGACCAGUGGCUUUCUUCGAACAAGAGGUGUCCCAUCUGUCGAGUCGACAUAGAAACCAACCUUAAUAAGGAUGUGACCCCCACAUAUGGUUCUUGACCCCACUACAAGCCCGUAUCUUUUCCCCCAGCAAGAUAAGAACACAUAAAAAUGAUUCUGCAAAAUUUGACUCGACAAAUGUUGCAGGAACAUUUUUCUCGCUUCAGCAGAACCAGUAAGUGAAUUUACCGUAGAUGAUGACGAUGGUCAGCCGAUCAUGGACUCAUUGCCGAAUACCGCAAGUCAAAGGAAGGAGUCGUGGUGUUGGUAUCGAAAAUCAUUACCAUUUAAACGUAUGAGCCGUAGCUCUUCCUGAAAGUCGUCAUUCACUACAAAGACCAGUUCAAAGAUUGGUCCAUAGUCAAACCUGGUACUGAGAAGAUCGGGUAAGCUAUAACACUGUGAAAUGCAUCGAUGCAGAUGACUUCAAUUUGUAUAAAUGUACUAUCAUAUACAAUCCUUUACAUUUUUAUAUACUAUUAGUUAUUUACUAUAUUACAUAAUAUGCUUUUGUGCAACCGGUCAUAGAAUAUCAGUUCUAAGGAAAUUUAUUCCUGUUUUCAAAAAUGAUCCAAAAAAAGAGUUCAAAUAUUAUAUUGAUUAGUUACGAGGUGUAAAACCAGUCCAAAUAUGUAGAGCUCUGAUAAACUACUUCAUAAUAUUAUACUACAAAUUUGAAUUGGUUUUACACCUCGUAAAUAACUAAUCAAUAUAUUAUUUGAACUCUUUUUACAAUACCAUUAUAUUGUAUGUAUGAUUUAUGUGCAUACAGAAAUACGCGUAUGUGGAGGCAAACAGUUAAAAACCUAAAACUUGCCUCCUUAGCACAAGUUACACAAUACAAAUGUUAUAAAGAUAUAGCAACUUGAAAUAGAUAUUAGGUAGAUAGAAAUGAUCAUAAAUGUUAUGAGGAAAACCUGGUACAAAAUUCUUCCUUGAAAGGGGAUUUCACUCCAGAACGGACACGACAUAAUUGGACUAUAAAUUCACUGCGAAUGAUGAGAAUGUAGGUGACAUGGUCUCACCUUCUCCAAUGCUAAAGCCUUCCCACUCGGUCGGAGUGAUCAUCUUGUCCGUUCGUCAUUAAUAUUUUUGUCGUUUCUACAAUCCAAGUAAUAAAUUUUACAACCAUGAUUUUAGUUGAAUUGAAGUAAUAUCGUAUUCUAACUCAAUGAUGACUACUGCCCUCUCUGAAAAAGACAUGCCCAACGAAUUGAGAACACUGGAAAGUAAUGCUGGAAUUGGUAAAAAUCAAUCAGCUCUCAACUGGUGGAUUGCAGUGCAUGCAAUUUAUUAGUCAAAACAUCUUAUUUUUAAUUUAGACUUUUCACUGUUUUCAACUCGGGCUCCGUAUUACCGGAUGGGCAUACGAUAAUUUAUUGUUGAUGAUGAGCAUGUUAAUUGUCGAUGAUGGGCAUGUUAAUUGUCGAUCCCGACUUUUAUAUAUAACAGUCGUGAUGGCUAAAAUAACCUGUAUAUCCAGUCGAGGUGGAACUUCCACCAAUAAAAGUCAUACGAUUAUUAUUUAACUUGGAAUCACCAGUUGACAAGCCUAAUUAGCGAUGUUGCCAUUCUUCCUAGGAUAUGGCAUUUACUGUGUUUCAACUAUUCUACCUAAACAACUUAAAAUUAAUAACAAUGUAUAUAAAGUAUACAUGUAGAGCCUCCUGUUCAGGCUGUUGCACGUACUACUGUCAGUUGUUGCCGUUUUACAAGACCUCUGAAUUGUUUUGAAAGAGGAUCGAGAACUGAACGACUAACUACACAAAUUACUAGAUUACUGUCUUUCAUUAUACAUGCUGCACUCGUAUCCAAAGUGUGCUACUAUACCGUACUAACUUAUUCUAUACUUUAAUCAGUUGUUGGAAACAUUAUUGUUGAUUUUUUAUAGUUAUAACUUUAUUUUUAUACAUUGUGUGGAUUGCAUAUAGGAUGUUGAUUAUUAUUGUUGUACUGAUUAAGAUAUUUUCUUUUAUUAUAUUAUAUAGUGACUGAGAAAUAACUCUAAAAAUCAUCUAGCAUUUUAUAAUUUUGUUAUGUUGUAUUGCUUUUGUGAUGUGUCUAUGUGAUUAAAGACAUUUUACUGGAAAUAA